rnacentral:rRNA from 1 species
UGGGGAAUAUUGCACAAUGGGGGAAACCCUGAUGCAGCCAUGCCGCGUGCGUGAAGAAGGCCUUCGGGUUGUAAAGCACUUUCAGCGAGGAGGAAAGGUUGUUGGCUAAUACCCAACAGCUGUGACGUUACUCGCAGAAGAAGCACCGGCUAACUCCGUGCCAGCAGCCGCGGUAAUACGGAGGGUGCAAGCGUUAAUCGGAAUUACUGGGCGUAAAGCGCACGCAGGCGGUUGGAUAAGUUAGAUGUGAAAGCCCCGGGCUCAACCUGGGAAUUGCAUUUAAAACUGUCCAGCUAGAGUCUUGUAGAGGGGGGUAGAAUUCCAGGUGUAGCGGUGAAAUGCGUAGAGAUCUGGAGGAAUACCGGUGGCGAAGGCGGCCCCCUGGACAAAGACUGACGCUCAGGUGCGAAAGCGUGGGGAGCAAACAG